GGUGGCAUGGUGGUUGAUCACUCGGCUGCUAACCGAAAGAUUGGUGGUUCAAACCCACCAGCCACUG
rnacentral:tRNA from 1 species